rnacentral:piRNA from 1 species
UCAACAGUCGGGGCGAUCCGUUGGGUCGG